GGAGAGGUGCGAGAGUGGCCGAUUCGGCACGCUUGGAAAGCGUGUGUGGCGGCAACGUCACCGUGGGUUCGAAUCCCACCCUCUCCGCCA
rnacentral:tRNA from 1 species